rnacentral:rRNA from 1 species
GAACGCAGCGAAAUGCGAUACGUAAUGUGAAUUGCAAAUUCAGUGAAUCAUCGAGUCUUUGAACGCACAUUGCGCCCCCUGGUAUUCCGGGGGGCAUGCCUGUCCGAGCGUCAUUGCUGCCCUCAAGCACGGCUUGUGUGUUGGGCCCCGUCCUCCGAUUCCGGGGGACGGGCCCGAAAGGCAGCGGCGGCACCGCGUCCGGUCCUCGAGCGUAUGGGGCUUUGUCACCCGCUCUGUAGGCCCGGCCGGCGCUUGCCGAUCAACCCAAAUUUUUAUCCAGGUUGACCUCGGAUCAGGUAGGGAUACCCGCUGAACUUAAGCAUAUCAAUA